rnacentral:lncRNA from 1 species
GCUCCGGCCUCGGGUGCUCCGCACUUGUGCUGAGCCCUGGUCUGAGUCACGCAGUAGAUGAAAUUACAGAGGUUCUUGCACAUGAUGACUCAGAAAGCAGGAUCAAGGCAAAUAUUUGGACAAGCCUUGCCCCGCGUGGAGCAGGAGGGAGCGGAGCAGCCCGCCAGCUGCCUGCCCAGAGAUGGUUUCUGACAGAGUGCUGCCGGGGGCAGGCCGCUGCUUACAGGGAAUUAGUUCUGAUCCGUGCAGUCACCCGGCAGUUGGAGCGCUUGGCCAGGCCCGCACUGAGAGAGAGGCCUGGGAGCGUCCUAGGACCCUGAGCCGUGAUUCAGUCUCAUCCUCCAGGGAGGGGCCGUGUGGGGACAGCGUGCGAGGGUCUGGGGCCGUGCGGGGAGAUGGUUCACUUUGAGUCAGCCCAUCCGCCUUCUUUUCUGGGAGUCAUCGCGGCAGCAGGCCGCGUUUCCUGCAGCAGUGAGCUGAGGAGACCACGCGGCCCUUCCACUGCCCCUGCCUGGGCCACAGCGGGGAGGUAGGCAGACAUAGUGACCGCAAAAUGGGGAAGGAAGCGAAACCCUGCGCCCUGUGCCAAGGCUUUACUGCUGCGAGGACUUUCAGGAGAGGCUAAUUGCCACCCUUUGCAGCUUCAAAGCCAGGCAUUUUCAAGGCUAUUCAGAACAGCAGCAGCAGCAGCAGCAGCUCACCAGUAAUAACAAAGCUACCGUAGGUUUGUCUGGAAUCUUUACUAAUUUUUCAAAAUUAACUUUUGAAAGAGCUCAGCCUUCUUGGGGUUAUUGUAAGCUACCUUCUCUCCUUUGCAGGGAAGCUCCCAGGAAAUAAACGAGUCUGCCCUGGAGGCAGCAGAUAAACCCCUAGGAGCUAAGGGUUGCUGCUGAUGAAUGGCAGGGAUAGCACAUGUUUUCUGUGAGCUGACUCCAUGCUGGGCCCCAGCUCCAAGCUUCCCACAACAAUGUCCUCGGCGAGCCUCAUGAGAACCCUUACAAGACUCUUCCUCCAGCCCAAGAAAAUGGGACACACUGCAUUCCGGCACAGCAGAAAAAUUUCCCAUAUGUUACAUCCUGCUCCUUUCCCAUUUCACAGCUUAAAAGCAGAACUCUUCAUUAAUUUGAGGCUCCUAGAGGAGUCAGAUUCACAGCGGUGGAAAGUAGGAUGGUGGAUGCCAGAGGGAGAGAGAAUGACGCAGAGUUGCUUCGUUGCUUCAGAGUUUCAGUUCUGGAAGAUGAGGUUCUGGAGAUGGAGCUGGUGACGGCUGCACAACAGUGUGCGUGUACUUACUGUUACUGACCUGAAAACAGCUAGGAUGGUAAAAAUGGGUAAGAUGGUAUAUAUUUUACCACAAGAACAACUCCAUGUUUAGUGUGGAGAUUCCUUAAAAAGCAGGACUAAAUCUACCAUAUGACCCAGCCACCCCUCUACUAGGCAUAUACCAUGAGGGAACUAUAAUCGAAAAAGACAAAUGUACCAAAUGUUCCCCCAAUGCUCACUGCAGCACUCUUUAUAAUAGCUAGGACAUGGAAGCAACCGAGCUGUCCAUCAACAGAUGAAUGGAUGAAGAGGCUGUGGGGCAUACACACAGUGGAAUAUUACUCAGCCAUAAAAAGGAGCACAUGUGAGUCGGUUCUAAUGAGGUGAAUAAACCUAGAGCCUAUUAUACAGAGUAAAGUAAGUCAGAAAGAGAAAAACAAAUAUCGCAUAUAUAUGGAAUCUAGAAAGCGGGUACGGAUGAAUCUAUUUGUAGGGCAACAGUGGAAACACGGACAGAGAGGACAGACUUGUGGACACGGGGAGUGGAACAAAUGGAGAGAGCAGCGUGGACACAUGUAUAUCAGCGUGUGUAAAACAGAUAGCCAGGGGGAUUUGCUGUUUGACUCAGGAGGUCACACCAGUGCUGUGACGACCUAGAGGGAUGGGGUGGGAGGUGAGAGGCAGGCUCAAGGGGCAGGGGACAUACGUCAUGGAUGAUUCCUGUUGAUGUGUGGCAGAAACCAACACAGGAAUGUAAGGCAAUUGUCCUUCAAUGAAAAAUAAGUAAAAAUUGUAAAGCUC